AAAAGGGAAGAAAGAUAACAAAGGGGGAUCAAGAUAAGGUAAAAGGCACACUAGUUAAAAUAAAGUCAAUAAAGGAGCUAGGGACAAAGACAACAAUCUAUAAUAGAUAAGGAGCAACAAAACCAAUAAUAUAACGCAAAUUUUGAUACACAAUAGUCAAUAGCGGGAACUAAUACUACCACACUUAAUGGAUAUUUUAGUAAAUCAAGUAACAGUAAUCAGGCAAGGUAAC
rnacentral:lncRNA from 1 species